ACGCGGAUAAGGGAAAAGGAAAAGGUAGGGGAGGAGGUGACGUCAACGGGACGACGAAGGGGAAGGGGAGGAGCCGCUCCGCGGAGUGCUCGCGGCGUUCCCUCCACCGAUCAUGCCGCUCCGCGGCGCGGGUGUGCUCGCGGCGCUCCAGUUCCCGUCGUUUCCCAUCGUAGUCCGUUAUGCCACUCCACGUCGUUGGCGUGCCCGAGGCGCUCAAAGUCCCGGCCUUCGCCGGUUAUGCCGCUCCGACACGGACAAGCCGCGGGCAUGCCGGAACGAGGACACGGAGGAUGGACUCGACCUGGAGGGGGGCACGCAGCAGGGGUGGGCGUAGUGGUUCGAAGGGUUGCCACAGGCGUUGAGGCGCAGCGGAGUCUCCUACAGGUCCUCCUCCUUAACUAAGAGUCUGGUGUUUUUGUUGUCUUGUUGUCCCUACUAUAAGUUCAACUGUAUAGAGGUAUCUCUUAGAUUGGAGAGGUCCCUAUUCAUUCUACUUUUUGUUGGUAACUUUCGCGGUGUUUCAUAAAGUUUCUUUGUAUUAUAGUUUGCCUCAGGUUUGCCUUACUUUGGAAGCCCUAGCACUAAAAGGUUGGCUUACACUGGGUCCUCUGAACCUGGGAUGAGGUUCGUCACGGGCUCCUCCAGUGCUCCCACCUCUCGCGGGGGGACCCGCGCGGGGGAUGGAGCACCCGGGGAGCCUCGAGGUGGCUGCAUGAGGAAGGAGGAUAUAUAUGGAUGCAUAGGGGCUUGUUAGUCUUGUCCUCGGUUUUUGGAUUAAGGUGGUGGCGUUGGAAGACAUAGGUGCUCUAGGGUAGAACCCCGGACAAGGCCUCGAGACGGCCUCCCCCGUAGGUGGUACCUCCCGAAGAUGUAGUAGUGGUAUCGGGGAGGCUACUUCACACUCAUCAAAUGAAGUCUGGAAGCCCAGGUAUCGAUCAUCGAUCUACCGAAGAAGAGAGAAAAACCUAGAGUUAUGUUACAAGGGGGGGAGAGAGCACCUCUAGAUAAGCUACAUUAGAAGAAAAACACCACACAAACAACUCUGGGCUACUUAACACCUAAAUACUAGGUCAUAAUA
rnacentral:rRNA from 1 species